rnacentral:lncRNA from 1 species
CCACAACUUUUCAAUUACAUAUUUCAUGAACUUUAAUCAAAAUUUGUUGAUACUUUUAUCAAAUCUUUGUAAAACAACCCCUUAAUUUACGCAACAAAUUAAUAAUUUCAAUGUGAAAAUUAUAAGAUAAUACCCCUAUAACUUCCAAGAAAAUUCAAAUAUCAAAUUUCAAUUGCUUUACCGUUCAAAUCAUUUUAUUUACUUCACAUAAAAAACCGUUUUGAGUUAAAAUAGUGUUUCCAAUAUUUUGCGAAAAAAAAGGGUAGUAAUAUGACGUCAUAUUAGUCUAAACUCACAAUCUCAAUCAAUUAAAUCAUACUGCAAUAAACUAUAACAAAAAAUGAUGAAGAAAAUUACAAUAUAAUAUCAUACACAAUGCAUCAAAAUAAAUUGAUCAAAGCGGUGUAGUUAGAAGCAUGAUUUGCAGACAAAUCGACCUAAAAACAUAAGAAUCAAGAAAAUAGAUUUCAUUCUUCCACAGUAUAUUAGUUGAAAUGUAUCACUGAUAACGGUGAUAGAAGAAGAACGAAGCGUGGGAUUAGAUAAGAGACCGUGACUCGAUCUAGACUCCUACGUGAAUUUUCCGCUGGGAUUUUCUCAGAUUUUACACGUAUACAUGUGUGUCAGUGUGUGACUAUGUAUAUUCACACAGGAGGGACAUGAAUAUUGGGCAAUUUUGAAGGUGAAAAGGCCAAUAAAAUCAGCAAAACCAUGAUCAAAACUGGGACAAGAAGAAGAAUUGGCGGUGGCGGAGGAAGUGGCGGCAGAACCAGUGGCAACACCAAGAGUGAUACUGUCAACAAAACCAUUAUGACAAUCUGUCUUAAACUAUAAUACCUGAACAUCAAAUUCUCCAAUGGUUUUUUAUUUUCACUACUUUUCACCUCAAAAAUGCUACCCUGUGCUCUGUCCGGUACAUCUUCAUCUUCAUCCAUCAACUGAACUGAAACAACCUCAGGGCAUGUGAAUGCCUAGUGAAUUGAUUUCAUAAAUGAGGGGGGGGGGGGGGGGUUUGACUUGGCGUUGCGAGUCUUUUGACACGUCAUCUUACAAAGCUCAACCAUAAUUUCAAAGUUUGGCUAGAUUCAUAGUACCAGUGUCCCAGUGUGUGUCUGUGCGUAUUUUAUAUUGAUUUUCCCCCCUCUUUUUGUUGGCUAAAUUCAUUGGCGACUUGGAUAAAACAAAGCGAGAGAAGGAAAAAGUUUUGCUAGUUUUGGUUUUACCUUUUGUGAUGAUCCUUUGGGAUGAAUAAUCAGCAAAGUUAGGCCAAACAUUUUUAUAAUGAAAAAAUAAAUAAUUACACUUCAUUCACAUGGUCAUACUAUCAUAAUCAUAUGUCGAGUUUCCGACUUGCUUCUUGAAGGAUUCCAUAAGACACCCCUAAGCUAGUUUUAAGGUAUACGUGAUUGGUAUACACGUAUAUGAUCAGAAGGGAUAAAUACAAGUUAACAUGAGUAUACCAUAUAUUGACUAAACCCA